CCAAGGGCACUUGUUGUUCUUUGUUGUUCUUUUUAAACUCAGCUCCAGAUGCCUAUACCAGAGGUAAGUUAACGGUUAAUGACAACAUUAACAAAAAAGUUCUGCAAAUUUUAAUUCCACUCAUUUAUACUUAUACUAGGGAUUAUUAAUCAUUAUAUUGCUGUGUAUUUUUCUUUAUGAGGUGUAGGUGGCCAUACCAGACAAAGGUAAGUCAAUACUUAAUGACAGCAUCAACUGCUUAAAGUCUUAAUCUCACUUACCAGAAAUUGCAAGAAGAUGUGUUUAUGCAGGACCAGAUAAGAAGGGCGGAUGACCAAAGGACCAGAUGAGUAGGACGGAUGACCACAGGACCAGAUGAGUAGGACGGAUGACCACAGGACCAGAUGAGUAGGAUGGAUGACCACAGGACCAGAUGAGAAGGACGAAUGACCACAGGACCAGAUGAGAAGGACGAAUGACCAGAGGACAAGCAGUAGAGCGUUUCUUUUAGUCGGCUAAGGCAGAACUCCUCUGUGUUUUUGGCAGUUGAGAGUGGGCGCCAACCAGCCAAUCAUCCCAGGAAGACCCAGAACCACAGCAGAACCACUCUCAGCACCCUACUCGCUUCCAGGCACCAAGCUCUGCCUCUCCGCCCCGACCCCCGCCACCGCCAGAGGAGGACCGGCCCCCACCCGACCAGCACAGAGGACGUUGUUACUAUCUUCUUCUUCUUCUGUGCUGGAGGGUUUGGGAAGCUCCUCACACUCACCGGAGGCUGCCACCAGCUCUACUAUCUGGAUUUCUGAGCAGAGCCAACAUUGAAUUCUAAACAGUUAAAAGUAUUUUGUUUGUCACAUUGAAUACAGUUUCUAAAUAUUUCUUUGUAUUAUACACAAUAUCUUAUCUUAUAUCUUUUAUAUAUAAUUAAGAAUCUGACAAAAUAAAAACAAAUAUUGUGCAAAUUAUGA